rnacentral:lncRNA from 1 species
AUAGGGUUUCACCAUGUUGGCCAGGCUGGUCUCGAACUCCUGUCCUUAAGUGAUCCUCUACUUAUAUAUAUAUUUUAAAUGGAGGUAAUAAUUACUACCUUGUGGCCUCAUGUAACAGAUAUAAAUUUCAUCUCUGUAAAUCUGUAACUAUAUCCCAACAGGGCUUGAAAGAUAUAGACCAGCAUUGUCCAAUAAGACUGUUUGUGAUGCUGCGUUCUCUGCAUUACCCAUUACAACCACUAAUCAGAUGUGGCUACUGAACAGUUUAAAUAUGGCUAGUGUGACCAAGGGAUUGGAUGUUUAAUUAGUUUAAAUAUAAAUAGCCAUGUGUAGUGAAUGUAUAUCAUAUUGGACAGCAGAAGGUAGACUAGAUGAUAGUAUUAUAAAGUUGAUUUCCUGAGUUUUGAUAAUUGUACUGUGGUUAUUUAAGCCAUGGUU